rnacentral:lncRNA from 1 species
UUUUCCAUCCCAUGAACAACCUUCACAAAUACCCAUCACUUCAUAUCACAUUCAUCUCAUUCCCAGUAGGGUGAAUUUUUGGAUAUUUUUAUUUAUUUAAUCCUCUCUUACCUUGGAUGUGUGGAAGUCGUUGCUAUCUAAACAUUCAGGUUCGAGAAGAUUAAAUAGGGGCAACUGUCAUACCCCAAAAUUCACCCUACCCCGAUACAAUUUUCAUCUGAUCCAUGACCCUACUGAACAUGCAAACAUUCAUUAUUUCAAAAAAAA